rnacentral:rRNA from 1 species
GACGAACGCUGGCGGCGUGCUUAACACAUGCAAGUCGAACGGAAAGGCCCUUCGGGGUACUCGAGUGGCGAACGGGUGAGUAACACGUGGGUGAUCUGCCCUGCACUUUGGGAUAAGCCUGGGAAACUGGGUCUAAUACCGAAUAUGAUCAUCGGCUUCAUGGUCGGUGGUGGAAAGCUUUUGCGGUGUGGGAUGGGCCCGCGGCCUAUCAGCUUGUUGGUGGGGUAAUGGCCUACCAAGGCGACGACGGGUAGCCGGCCUGAGAGGGUGUCCGGCCACACUGGGACUGAGACACGGCCCAGACUCCUACGGGAGGCAGCAGUGGGGAAUAUUGCGCAAUGGGCGGAAGCCUGACGCAGCGACGCCGCGUGGGGGAUGACGGCCUUCGGGUUGUAAACCUCUUUCGGCCCCGACGAAGCGUGAGUGACGGUAGGGGUAGAAGAAGCACCGGCCAACUACGUGCCAGCAGCCGCGGUAACACGUAGGGUGCGAGCGUUGUCCGAAAUUAUUGGGCGUAAAGAGCUCGUAGGCGGUGUGUCGCGUCGGCCGUGAAAACCUGCAGCUUAACUGUGGGCUUGCGGUCGAUACGGGCAUCACUGGAGUUCGGCAGGGGAGACUGGAAUUCCUGGUGUAGCGGUGAAAUGCGCAGAUAUCAGGAGGAACACCGGUGGCGAAGGCGGGUCUCUGGGCCGAUACUGACGCUGAGGAGCGAAAGCGUGGGGAGCGAACAGGAUUAGAUACCCUGGUAGUCCACGCCGUAAACGUUGGGCGCUAGGUGUGGGGGCCAUUCCACGGUCUCUGUGCCGUAGCUAACGCAUUAAGUGCCCCGCCUGGGGAGUACGGCCGCAAGGCUAAA